ACUUCCUCGGCGGACACACUUCCUGAUCUAAGGACCAGCACUCCACAAACUGGUGUUGGUAGAUCAACUGGUGAUUUGGGACGUCUUUUCCAGGGAUUGACUGGACAUUCAUCUCCAUUAUUUGAUGAAGAAGAAAACUCAUCAAGGGAGAUCACUAUCAAUCUCAUGCCGAUAGUGGAAAAUCCCAUUCAAGAUGAACCACCAGGAGGGCAUGAUGGAAGUGAGACUCCAGAUAUUCUUGAAGAUUUGGGAGAUGCGCAACCGGAUGAAAUUCACACACCAGAAAACAUUGAGGAACCUGUUGAAACACAGGCACCACCAAUUGAACUGCAAACAGGUGGUGUA